GGGUUCUACCGGUGGUCGGGCAAUAGUCUGUACUGGCGUGUAGAAUUUCUACCUUCUGGGGAACUAUCAUGUUAUUUAUUUAGCGUGGUAGGAAACCAGGACCUUUACCUUGAAAAAAUUAGAGUGUUCAAAGCAGGCUUACGUCUGAAUACAUUAGCAUGGAAUAAUAGAAUAGGACUU
rnacentral:rRNA from 1 species